UAAAGCAAGAAAGGGCGUAUGGGGAAUGCCUAGGCACACUCCGGCGAAGAAGGACGCAGCAAACAGCGAAAUGCGACGGUGAGCGGUAAGCACGUGAAGAGCCGUCGAUAUCCGAAUGGGGGAACCCACACGGAGUCAUAUCCGUGUAUCACAUGUCGAAUACAUAGACAUGAUGAGGCGAGACGCAGGGAACUGAAACAUCUAAGUACCUGCAGGAAGAGAAAAUAAGAAUGAUUUUCUGAGUAGCGGCGAGCGAAAGGGAAAGAGCCCAAACCGAUUUGAGGAUCGGGGUAGUAGGAUCAUCGAUAAAUCAAACAGAGGAUCAUAGAGGAAUCACAUGGGAAGGUGAGCGAGAGAGGGUGAGAGCCCCGUACUCGAAAUGAGAGACUGGAGAGAGAUGACACCUGAGUAGGGCGGGACACGAGAAAUCCUGUCUGAAUCAGCCGGGACCAUCCGGCAAGGCUAAAUACGAGAGAGUGACCGAUAGUGAACCAGUACCGUGAGGGAAAGGUGAAAAGAACCCCGGGAGGGGAGUGAAAGAGAACCUGAAACCAUAUGCCUACAAGAAGUCAGAGCCCGUUAAAGGGUGAUGGCGUGCCUUUUGUAGAAUGAACCGGCGAGUUACUGUAUGGAGCGAGGUUAAGCAGGAUAUGCGGAGCCGAAGCGAAAGCGAGUCUUAAGAGGGCGCGAGUUGCAUGCAGUAGACCCGAAACCGGGUGAUCUAGCCAUGACCAGGUUGAAGUUGGGGUAAAACCCGAUGGAGGACCGAACCGACCCCCGUUGAAACGUUGGCGGAUGAGUUGUGGCUAGGGGUGAAAUUCCAAUCGAACCCGGAGAUAGCUGGUUCUCCCCGAAAUAGCUUUAGGGCUAGCGUCGAGAGAAGAGUUGCGUGAAGGUAGAGCACUGAAUAUGUGAUGGCCCCAUCUCGGGGUACUGAGCAUAAUCAAACUGCGAAUGUCACGCCAACAUGCUCGGCAGUCAGACAGCGGGUGAUAAGGUCCGUUGUCAAGAGGGAAACAGCCCAGACCAUCAGCUAAGGUCCCAAAAUGUAUGCUAAGUGGAAAAGGAUGUGGAGAUGUACAGACAACUAGGAGGUUGGCUCAGAAGCAGCCAUCCUUUAAAGAGUGCGUAACAGCUCACUAGUCGAAUGACUCUGCGCCGAUAAUUUACCGGGGCUAAGCAUACUACCGAAGCUAUGGAUCCCAAGGGAUGGUAGGGGAGCGUUCCAUGAACGGAGAAGUACGACCGAAAGGACGUGUGGAGAUCAUGGAAGAGAGAAUGCCGGUGUGAGUAGCGGAACGUGGGUGAGAAUCCCACGCACCGAAAACCCAAGGUUUCCAGAGGAAGGUUCGUCCGCUCUGGGUAAGUCGGGACCUAAGGCGAGGCCGAAAGGCGUAGUCGAUGGACAACAGGUAGAGAUUCCUGUACCCGUAUAUAUGUGAAGGAAUGACGGAGAGAGGAAGCUGCAGCCAGCGGCUGGAAGAGCUGGUGCAAGCGAGAUAUCGGGAUGGCAGGCAAAUCCACCAUCCGAAACGAGAAGGCGUGAAGCGUACGGAAAGCUACGGCGAGUACGGAAGGCAGUGGAGGAACUUCCAAGAAAAGUUUCUAACGUUAAGUAUAUAUGGCCCGUACCGAAAAUGGACACACAUGGGUGAGGAGAGAAUCCUAAGGUGAGCGAGAGAACUAUAGCUAAGGAACUCUGCAAAAUGACUCCGUAACUUAGGGAGAAGGAGUGCUCAUAGAGAUAUGAGCCGCAGUGAAACGGCCCAAGCGACUGUUUACCAAAAACACAGCUCUCUGCUAAGCCGCAAGGCGAAGUAUAGGGGGUGACGCCUGCCCGGUGCUGGAAGGUUAAGGGGAGGGGUUAACGCAAGUGAAGCCCUGAACUGAAGCCCCAGUAAACGGCGGCCGUAACUAUAACGGUCCUAAGGUAGCGAAAUUCCUUGUCAGGUAAGUUCUGACCCGCACGAAAGGCGUAACGAUUUGGGCGCUGUCUCAGCUGUAGACUCGGUGAAGUCUUAGUACCUGUGAAGAUGCAGGUUACCCGCGACUAGACGGAAAGACCCCAUGGAGCUUCACUGCAGGUUGAUAUUGGGAUUUGAUGCAGCAUGUACAGGAUAGGUAGGAGGCAAAGAGAUGGAUACGCCAGUAUUCAAGGAGCCGCUGUUGGGAUACUACCCCUGUUGUAUUGGAUUUCUAACCGGACGACGUAGAGCCGUUGACGGGACAGUGUCAGUCGGGCAGUUUGACUGGGGCGGUCGCCUCCCAAAGAGUAACGGAGGCGCCCAAAGAUACCCUCAGCUUGGAUGGAAACCAAGCGCAGAGUGCAAAGGCAAAAGGGUGUUUGACUGCGAGACCCACAAGUCGAGCAGGGACGAAAGUCGGGCU
rnacentral:rRNA from 1 species